rnacentral:rRNA from 1 species
GUGUCAGCCGCCGCGGUAAGACGAACCAAGCAAACGUUGUUCGGAAUCACUGGGCUUAAAGGGCGCGUAGGCGGUCGAUCAAGUCCGGAGUGAAAUCUUUCGGCUCAACCGGAAAAGUGCUUUGGAUACUGAUCGGCUCGAAGGGGGUAGGGGUUGCGGGAACUGACAGUGGAGCGGUGAAAUGCGUUGAUAUUGUCAGGAACGCCGGUGGCGAAAGCGCGCAACUGGACCUCUCUUGACGCUGAGGCGCGAAAGCCAGGGUAGCGAACGGGAUUAGAAACCCUCGUAGUCC